GACGAACGCUGGCGGCGUGCCUAAUACAUGCAAGUUGAGCGAUGAAGAUUGGUGCUUGCCCCAAUUUGAAGAGCAGCGAACGGGUGAGUAACGCGUGGGGAAUCUGCCUUUGAGCGGGGGACAACAUUUGGAAACGAAUGCUAAUACCGCAUAAUAACUUUAAACAUAAGUUUUAAGUUUGAAAGAUGCAAUUGCAUCACUCAAAGAUGAUCCCGCGUUGUAUUAGCUAGUUGGUGAGGUAAAGGCUCACCAAGGCGAUGAUACAUAGCCGACCUGAGAGGGUGAUCGGCCACAUUGGGACUGAGACACGGCCCAAACUCCUACGGGAGGCAGCAGUAGGGAAUCUUCGGCGAUGGACGAAAGUCUGACCGAGCAACGCCGCGUGAGUGAAGAAGGGUGUCGGAUCGUAAAACUCUGUUGGUAGAGAAGAACGUUGGUGAGAGUGGAAAGCUCAUCAAGUGACGGUAACUACCCAGAAAGGGACGGCUAACUACGUG
rnacentral:rRNA from 1 species